rnacentral:rRNA from 1 species
AUGUACCUCUCUUGCUGGGCCGUAUUCUCGUCCAGGCCGCGAGGCGGCAGAACUGCCGCGGCCCGCUGUGAGUCAGUCACCCACACCGCCCCUUCUUCAUCCUCUUCUCCGGCGGUUCUCCCAAACGCCGCGGUCCCGUCCUGCCCGGCGGGUCGUCGGAGGGUUCGACGCCGCGGUCCCGUCCCGUCCAUGCAGGUUCCGCGACCCCCUCCUCCUCGCCAGUGCCAGUCCCAGCCCCGCCGCCGCCGCCGCCUCGUCCACUCCACCUCUAAAACCCGCCGCGGCGGAGCUCCAGAAGUGCCGUCAGGUGGGUGCCCGCGAGCUCCUCUCACCUCUGUUUCGGUUCGAUUUCCGGAGCUUAUGUGGGGUUAA